GGGUUCGGGCUCUUCUUGCGCAGCUUAGGUGGAAGGCGUUGAAAGAGAGCUUCCGGGUUCUCUGGAGCCACCAGUGAGAUACCACUCUGGAAGAGCUAGAAUUCUAAUCUCGACCCCUUAGCGGGGCGUGUGACAGUUUCAGGUGGGCAGUUUGACUGGGGCGGUCGCCUCCUAAAAGGUAACGGAGGCGUGCAAAGGUUCCCUCCGGCUGGACGGAAAUCAGCUGUAGAGUGUAAAGGCAGAAGGGAGCUUGACUGCGAGACCUACAAGUCGAGCAGGGACGAAAGUCGGCCUUAGUGAUCCGACGGUGCCGUGUGGAAGGGCCGUCGCUCAACGGAUAAAAGUUACUCUAGGGAUA
rnacentral:rRNA from 1 species